GGGUUGUGAGGUUAAGCGACUAAGCGUACACGGUGGAUGCCCUGGCAGUCAGAGGCGAUGAAGGGCGUGCUAAUCUGCGAUAAGCGCCGGUAAGGUGAUAUGAACCGUUAUAACCGGCGAUACCCGAAUGGGGAAACCCAGUGUGACUCGUCACACUAUCAUUAACUGAAUCCAUAGGUUAAUGAGGCGAACCGGGGGAACUGAAACAUCUAAGUACCCCGAGGAAAAGAAAUCAACCGAGAUUCCCCCAGUAGCGGCGAGCGAACGGGGAGGAGCCCAGAGCCUGAAUCAGCAUGUGUGUUAGUGGAAGCGUCUGGAAAGACGCGCGAUACAGGGUGACAGCCCCGUACACAAAAGCGCAUGUGUUGUGAGCUCGAUGAGUAGGGCGGGACACGUGGUAUCCUGUCUGAAUAUGGGGGGACCAUCCUCCAAGGCUAAAUACUCCUGACUGACCGAUAGUGAACCAGUACCGUGAGGGAAAGGCGAAAAGAACCCCGGCGAGGGGAGUGAAAAAGAACCUGAAACCGUGUACGUACAAGCAGUGGGAGCACCCUGUGUGACUGCGUACCUUUUGUAUAAUGGGUCAGCGACUUAUAUUCUGUAGCAAGGUUAACCGAAUAGGGGAGCCGGAGGGAAACCGAGUCUUAAUUGGGCGUUAAGUUGCAGGGUAUAGACCCGAAACCCGGUGAUCUAGCCAUGGGCAGGUUGAAGGUUGGGUAACACUAACUGGAGGACCGAACCGACUAAUGUUGAAAAAUUAGCGGAUGACCUGUGGCUGGGGGUGAAAGGCCAAUCAAACCGGGAGAUAGCUGGUUCUCCCCGAAAGCUAUUUAGGUAGCGCCUCGUGAAUUCAUCUCCGGGGGUAGAGCACUGUUUCGGCUAGGGGGCCAUCCCGGCUUACCAACCCGAUGCAAACUGCGAAUACCGGAGAAUGUUAUCACGGGAGACACACGGCGGGUGCUAACGUCCGUCGUGAAGAGGGAAACAACCCAGACCGCCAGCUAAGGUCCCAAAGUCAUGGUUAAGUGGGAAACGAUGUGGGAAGGCCCAGACAGCCAGGAUGUUGGCUUAGAAGCAGCCAUCAUUUAAAGAAAGCGUAAUAGCUCACUGGUCGAGUCGGCCUGCGCGGAAGAUGUAACGGGGCUAAACCAUGCACCGAAGCUGCGGCAGCGA
rnacentral:rRNA from 1 species